UUAAAAAUUAGUUUAACCUAAAACUUUAGUAUGUCAAACUAAUAAUAUUAAAUUUAUUAAUAUUUUUAA
rnacentral:tRNA from 1 species